UUCGCUUCUCGGCCUUUUGGCUAAGAUCAAGUGUAGUAUCUGUUCUUAUUGGACAGAUUACGAAAUUGAUUGCCUCUGAGGUUUUUUGACGUUACGCUCU
ensembl:snRNA U2 U2 spliceosomal RNA